rnacentral:rRNA from 1 species
AGUGAACGUUGGCGGCGUGGAUUAGGCAUGCAAGUCGAGCGAGAACCGUAGCAAUACGGGGACAGCGGCGAAAGGGACAGUAAUGUGUAGGUACCUACCUCCGGGUUCGGGAUAGCUGCGGGAAACUGCAGGUAAUACCGAAUAACGUCUCCGGACCAAAGGUGUGAUUCCACCUGGAGAGGGGCCUGCAUCCUAUUAGCUUGUUGGCGGGGUAACGGCCCACCAAGGUGACGAUGGGUAGCGGGUGUGAGAGCACGACCCGCGUCAUUGGGGCUGAUACACUGCCCAUACACCUACGGGUGGCUGCAGUCGUGAAUCUUCGGCAAUGGGCGCAAGCCUGAACGAGCGACGCCGCGUGCGGGAUUAAGGCCUUCGGGUUGUAAACCGCUGUCGUAGAGGAGGAAAUGCAGGGGGGUUCUCCCCUCUGUUUGACCUAUUCUAGGAGGAAGUACGGGCUAAGUUCGUGCCAGCCGCCGCAGUAA